rnacentral:piRNA from 1 species
UCACGCGAUAGUUCUCUAUAA